rnacentral:rRNA from 1 species
GAGAGUUUGAUUAUGGCUCAGGACGAACGCUGGCGGCGUGCCUAAUACAUGCAAGUAGAACGCUGAAGGAGGAGCUUGCUUCUCUGGAUGAGUUGCGAACGGGUGAGUAACGCGUAGGUAACCUGCCUGGUAGCGGGGGAUAACUAUUGGAAACGAUAGCUAAUACCGCAUAACAGUAGAUGUUGCAUGACAUUUGCUUAAAAGGUGCAAUUGCAUCACUACCAGAUGGACCUGCGUUGUAUUAGCUAGUUGGUGGGGUAACGGCUCACCAAGGCGACGAUACAUAGCCGACCUGAGAGGGUGAUCGGCCACACUGGGACUGAGACACGGCCCAGACUCCUACGGGAGGCAGCAGUAGGGAAUCUUCGGCAAUGGACGGAAGUCUGACCGAGCAACGCCGCGUGAGUGAAGAAGGUUUUCGGAUCGUAAAGCUCUGUUGUAAGAGAAGAACGAGUGUGAGAGUGGAAAGUUCACACUGUGACGGUAUCUUACCAGAAAGGACCGGCUAAUUCCGUGCCAGCAGCCGCGGUAAUACGGAAGGUCCAGGCGUUAUCCGGAUUUAUUGGGUUUAAAGGGAGCGUAAGCGGAUUAUUAAGUCAGUGGUGAAAGACGGUGGCUCAACCAUCGUUAGCCAUUGAAACUGGUAGUCUUGAGUGCAGACAGGGAUGCUGGAACUCGUGGUGUAGCGGUGAAAUGCUUAGAUAUCACGAUGAACUCCGAUCGCGAAGGCAGGUGUCCGGGCUGCAACUGACGCUGAGGCUCGAAAGUGUGGGUAUCAAACAGGAUUAGAUACCCUGGUAGUCCACACAGUAAACGAUGUAUACUCGCGGUUUUGCGAUAAAGUGUAAGCCGCCAAGCGAAAGCAUUAAGUAUACCACCUGGGGAGUACGCCGGCAACGGUGAAACUCAAAGGAAUUGACGGGGGCCCGCACAAGCGGAGGAACAUGUGGUUUAAUUCGAUGAUACGCGAGGAACCUUACCCGGGCUUGAACUAAGAGUGACGAAUCUAGAGAUAGAUUUUUCUUCGGACACUCUUGGAGGUGCUGCAUGGUUGUCGUCAGCUCGUGCCGUGAGGUGUCGGCUUAAGUGCCAUAACGAGCGCAACCCUUUUCCUUGGUUGCCAUCAGGUAAUGCUGGGCACUCCAGGGAUACUGCCAUCGUAANAUGUGAGGAAGGUGGGGAUGACGUCAAAUCAGCACGGCCCUUACGUCCAGGGCUACACACGUGUUACAAUGGGGGGUACAGAAGGUCGCUACCUGGUGACAGGAUGCUAAUCUGCAAAACCUCUCUCAGUUCGGAUUGGAGUCUGCAACCCGACUCCAUGAAGCUGGAUUCGCUAGUAAUCGCGCAUCAGCCAUGGCGCGGUGAAUACGUUCCCGGGCCUUGUACACACCGCCCGUCAAGCCAUGAAAGCCGGGGGUGCCUGAAAUGCCGUGAUCCGGAAGGGUCGGCCUAGGGUAAAACUGGUGAUUGGGGCUAAGUCGUAACAAGGUAGCCGUACCGGAAGGUGCGGCUGGAACACCUCUCUUC